GAACACCACGGAAGCGAUUUGGACUACGCUGUCAACUAAAAACAGUACGGUCUGGUGCAAUGUUGACAGGACGUCCAACAUAACCGACAACACCAUAUAUUUUAACCGUUCUUUUGUUGACGGUGGCGGCAAGUGGGUUACCCUUCCAUAUCGAGGAGAGGUUCCGGAGAAUAUGACCAAUAUUAUGUUGGCAGGAAUUACAGGAGCGCCAGUGAGCACUAACGAAAAAUUGGUGUAUGCAACAUCGAACUACAGUUGCGGUGUCUUUUAUGUGGACUACG
rnacentral:lncRNA from 1 species